UUACUUUCCUUUUAAUUUCUUUCAGGUAUUCAGUCUUCAGUUAGCCGCAGAGCUUACUACAUGAUGCAUUAUUGAAACAGAAGAGAAGCUGGGGGGUUAUCGACUCAUGUUUGAGGUUUCUGCCAAGAGAAAGGAGUGAGUCCUGCCUCCCUUUAGACAAGGGGAAUGGCAAGACAUUUCAGAUGUGGGGGAGCCUUGAUCUUCAGUGCUAUUUCUUUCCUAUUGUUGCCUGAAUCAGAAUCUCCCACUACAUCCAACAAUAGUGCUGUUCUCCCAAAAUGACAGAAGCACACGGAUUGAAAACGCUGCUGAAAAGAUUGUUGGAAGAUAGGAAAAGCACAUCUAAGCUUUGCCUAAGUGGAAAAAAGGAAAGGGAUGCUCUUUGGGCACAGUAGCAAGAGCAUAGGAAAGUUUCUGAUGUUCAUCAUUUGCUUAAAGCCCAAACUGGAUUCUGUUAUGGUAAACUAAAGCACUGCAGUAUUGUGA